CAUUCCUCCUUUCCUUUGAAGGAAGUCUUGUGGAAUUGGCCUUUGAGUGGAAGAGAACGUAUAUAUGUAUAUAUAUAUACGUACCCGUAUGCGUAACUUUGAGUGAAAGAGAACGUAUACGUACCCGUAUGCGUAAACGCGUAUAUACGCAUAGGCUUUGGGCCCGACGCCGGAAGUUGGGAGGGGUCCGGCCAACCGGCCGCAGGAAGAGGCCCAGGGAGCCGGCGGAGGGAGAGGGACGGAAGGCGGCGCAUGCAGGUGGAACCCCGGUCUCCAAGGCAACAAGCGACGGGGAAGCUCAGUUUUUGAUAAUCAGCACCGGAGUCUCCUCUCAGCUCCUCCCUGGGCACAGCGCAGUGAAAAGAGCGUGAGCUUUGGACUCACACGGGCCUGGAACAGAACUGUGAUCAUGGGUAGUAGUCCCUCUGAGCCUCAGUUUCCUCAUCUAUGAAAUGGGAGCAGUGAUGGCAACUUCACACAAGUGUGGGCAGAGGGGUCGAGAUGACUCGUACAUCCCGCUGACCACAGCAGAGCAUGGUGCUGUCACCUUUCUACUGUUCGACUUCAAAAUUGCAACUGUUCUACAUCAGUAAGAACAAAGGUGGGAGGAAGAGCCUGGAGGAAAUCCCUUGGCCGGCUGUCGGAUAGCUGUGCCGGGGCCCAAGAACUCUACCUCGUGGCUUCUGAGCAGGCAAGUUUGGUCCAGAGGGUUUGCUGCUGCUGGUGAGGACAUAGUGAAAAUGCAGCUGUCUGUUGGCCAGGAAGAGAGCUCUAACCAGGAAGUGAAUCAGCUGGAUCCUUGAUCUGGGACUUCCAGCCUCCAGAACUAUCCCUGCUGAUCCUCCUUACGCCUGAAGCCCAGAUAGCCUUAGAAGAAAUAGGCUUAAAACCCGUUGGGAGGUUUAACCUGAAAGCGUGUCAGAGUCGCCCACCUGGGUGGGGCACAGGCUGAUUUCAGUGCGCCCCUAUUUGGACACGUGUGGACCACUUCUGGAAGGCUCAGCCCUCUGCCACAGGCUUUACCAAUGGACUCCACACGGAGUGAAUUCCCUCGGGGUCUGACCAGCUGAGGACACAGCUGAACCGGGCCUGGGCUGCUGGCAGAGGUGAUGGGAUGGAGAGGCCGGGGGGCUGAUGCCACCUGACAGUCCCUCUGCAUAUUUCACAGCUUUUCUUCGUGUUUGGUGUCGUUAUUUUUGCAAAUACGGUUUUUAAAAAGGAGGCUAUUAUUUUUUCAUGUGCUUUAAUAUAUGUUUGUGAAAAUUUUUCAUCUGCAGAUUUAGUUCCUCGUGGACAAUAUCCAGCACAGAACUUAGAGGCAGAGACUCCUCAGACCAAUCAGCCAAAUCAGCCAAUUCCUCUCAGAAAAAGCCUGACUUCAUUUUUGAACUCGAAUAAGUUUCCUUGCAUCCCUGUGACAACUGUCUCACUUCUGAAUCCCGAUUCUUGCAGAGAAUCAUAAGACCUUCAUCUGACCUUGUCGCCUGGGUGAAAAGAGUGUGCGCUUGGAGGACAGACCCUCCCGAGGUGAAGCUGCCCUGACGCCUGCAGGCUGCAGGCUCCUGUCCCACACAGAUUCCCUGCCCUGAGCUUCUGAAGACGGGACCGGCCUCAGCCCAUAAAACGCCGUCUGUUCUAUGAUCAGAGAGACCAAAACCUCCAGUUAUAAAGGUUACAAUCUGCUCCUUGAACAACUGUCAGCCGCGAUGGGACCAGAGAUGCCGAGAUGAUGGGAUGGACGGGAUGGGAUUCUGCAUUCUCAGACUUCCUCCUUCCUCCUCCCCAGGACCCCUGCUCUGAAAAAUCAUCCUUGGCAUCACGUACAUGAGAAGUCCCAUCCUCCCGCGUGCUAUGUGAUACCAGGCAGGGCGAAAUCCCUGAGCCCUGGUCGGAACAGCUCUCAGAAAAACAUCUGCGUGGAUUUGCUGGCUUUCCUUAAACAAGGGCCAGCUCAGCUCCUCCAGGGCCGUGUGCAGCAAAGCUGAUGACAGGCUCUGCAAGGAAAAUACAAGAAGUUCUCCCUCUGUUACAAGGGGCUCUGUCCUUCCAGACCAGGCUGCAGAGCAUCCUCUGGGGGUAACGGCAGUUCAGGAGAGUGAGGCUGGACCACAUUUGGAGGACAAGAGGUCCCCUCCAUCCCAGCCAUCCCAGAUGGGUGAGCAAGGCCCUCCUAGGUCACCUGGCACUGCUGAGCCAGCCCCAAACAGAAGAACCGACUGGCCCAUUGCAGAAUCGUGAGAGGCAACAGGGCUUCCCUGGUGGCGCAGUGGUUGGGAGUCCGCCUGCCGAAGCAGGGAACACGGGUUCGUGCCCCGGUCCGGGAGGAUCCCACGUGCCACGGAGCGGCUGGGCCCGUGAGCCAUGGCCGCCAAGCCUGCGCGUCCGGAGCCUGUGCUCCGCAACGGGAGAGGCCACAACAGUGAGAGGCCCGCGUACCGCAAAUAAAUAAAUAAAUAAAUAAAUAAAAAUAAAAUCCUUUAUGUGCAAAAAAAAAAGUCUUGAGCCUCGUCUACUGAGUAACAGAAUCUGACAGUCAACUGGUCCAAUGAGCCAGCGUAAAUAGAGAUGGCUGGCCUCUGCCCGGGCUCCCCCGCUGCUUUGGAGCAGAGGGAAAUUGAAAAGGAGAUCGUUGUUAAAAGCAUGGUCUUUGGAGCCAUUUGGACCACGAUGUGCUUCCCUGCUUUAUCAGGCACUGCUCAGGGGAGCCUGGGAAGACGACCCAUCUCUCUGAGUCCCCAUUUCUUCAUCUCCAUUGGACACGCAGCCAUCACCCCUCCUCCACGCCCUUCUGUUGUUACUGCUACUUCUGUCUCUGCUACAGUGGCUGUGCCAUCUUGCCUGAAGGAGAUGCUCAUGCCAGGGAUAUCUGCCAAAGGCCCCAUUUUAAUUCAACCAAUUAAAGACUGCCUGGAAAUACCCUCUUCAUGUCCUGUAACCCGUUUUGCAAGGGCUGUUGAGUUCUGCCUCCAUAUAUGGUGGCCAUUUGCACAGCUGUGAAACACCUCCUCCAACAAGUACCACUUGUUACUCCACAGUGGUAACAAGCUGUGAGCCUGGACUGGCCAGACCAAAUGCCACAGGGAAUAGAAGAGAGAGUGGUGUUGGAGAAUGUGGCUGCACUGGACUCUUGAUUUCACCUUCCAAAUAUCUUUUCAAUCUGUCCAUUCCCACAGCUGCCGCCCUAAGCCAGGCUCCUAUCCUGUCUUACCUAGACAGCUGCAAAUGCCUCCGUCUUACUUGAGAUACCCCAAGAAAGCAGAGCCUAAAAGGACUUCUUUGCAGAUUGCUUAUUUAGCAGUAAUCCCAGGAAUCAGCAGUGAGGGACAGGCAGAGUGGGAGAUGAAGGAACGUCUAUAUAAGAGUGCGUAAGUGAGGUCGCAGUCGUGGGACCUAAACCCAACCUGGGACCUGAAGAGUGGGUCCUGAUUGCCCGUGAGGAGUGUUUAUCCAACGGCUCCCAUUCUCCACUGGCUGAGGGUUGCUCCUGGAAGCACAAAUUCUCCUGCACAUUCAGAUCAUUCCUACAUGUGCACCAACAGCUUCCCUGGCACCGGUGUCACUGGAGAGGCCCCAGGGAAGGUGGCAUUUGAGGUGAAGCCCACCUGGGAGAGUCCACCAUGGCCGUGGCCAUGGCUGAAUUCAAAGGGGGUGCUGAACAGGUGUGGGGCAAGGCAGCUAAGGUUUCCUGUACAAUCUCCUAACUGUACAGUCUCUUCCUGUACAAUCUCUACCCUUAUCAGUGCUCGCUCUUCUCUACACAGGAGCUACAGUGAUUACGUUUUCAAAACGUUAAAUGGAUCUGUCACAUAUACCCUCUGAACCCCCAGGGCUUAAAUCAGUGCUAUGGAUAAAGAUCACAAUCCUAAGAUGGCCUAGGGAGCCCUGCCCACCUCUGCCCACUGCUCCUGCCCACCUCUGCCCACUACUCCUGCCCACCCCCACCUCACUCUCCGGGAAUGGGCCACCCUACCUCCUUGCCAUCUUGUCCAAAGUGCUGUGCCCACUCUGACCACAGGGACUUUGCACAUGCAGUUCCUUCUUUCACUAGCACACCCCUGUUUGUCCUUUACCUCUCAGCUCAAGCGUUGUUUCUACAGAGGAGCCUUUUGAACCCCAUCUCUGGGAUGGGCCAGGGUCCUUUGUCAAGCCUGUUGGAGGACCCGACAGUCUCCUUUUAGAGGAUCUGGUGGCAGCAUUUACCUGAGUGGGGGCAGGGGGACGGUAGCUGGAGGGGAAGUCUGGGAGAACAACUGACUUCUCGCUGCAUAGCCUUUGGGACCUUUGGAAAUUUAUACCCUGUUCUCAUGUUGCCAACUAAACUAUUAGGUAAUUAAACCUAAAUCAGAGCAAUAAGACAACUGCAAAAAUCCUAAUUGGGGGCUUCCCUGGUGGUGCAGUGGUUGAGAGUCCGCCUGCCGAUGCAGGGGACGCGGGUUCGUGCCCUGGUCCGGGAGGAUCCCACAUGCCGCAGAGCGGCUGGGCCCGUGAGCCAUGGCCGCUGAGCCUGCGCGUCCGGAGCCUGUGCUCCGCAACGGGAGAGGCCACAACAGUGAGAGGCCCGCGUACCGCAAAAAAAAAAAAAAAAAAAAAAAAAAUCCUAAUUGGCCAACUGGUCGUUCUGGUUUCUGUGUCUGGAUGGCUGCUCCUUAGGGACCCUGCCUGUCCCAGGGCCUCCUCGUCCCCUGAGCCCGCUCACGGCCAAGCUGCAUCUGAAUGCUGCGGGACAUGUCUUAUUCUCUUCCGGAGAUGAGAUGGGUCGGGAGAAUGUAUCUUCCUGGUUCCUUGAGUGUAUGUUUUGCCCUUUAUUCAAGAUUUGUGCUCCCGCCACUUCCUGAAGGGCUUAUGCUGGCUGAGAGCCUGGGAUGCCGUGUGGGGAGCAUCACACUUCUAGGACUCUCUCCGAGAAGCAGAUGGAGAUGUUUCAGUCACCUGAUUUGAACAGAUCACAAAACUUAGGCAAUAAGUUUGACUUUUAAACUCUGGCAACCAAGGCCGAAAAAAGGGGAGCAAAGUUCUUGGCUUUGGAAAAAUUUCAUCCAGGAAAUGUGUCUGAGUUUCAGAGGUUCAGGAAGAGCUGCUAAUUUUUAAACUUUCUCUCCAAAGACUCAGACUGCCUUCCCUAAGCACAGUCCCUUCCUUCUUCUGUCUAACGGCUUGAUUGAUGUAUAGUUGAUACACAAUAAACUGCACGUGUUAAUGAAUACA